CAAUUUAAUUGAAGUAAGGAGAAAUUGAACUUUAUAAAUUAUAAAGUGAUAAAACCAUUUGUUACAUGUAAAUGAGGGAAACAUGGAUGAAGUUUUCAAAUUUGUUUAUGUUAUGAUUAUCUUUCCCUUUCUAAUUCUUGACGUAGCAACAAAUGCUGAAAAGAUUCGUAGAUGUUUUAAUGAUGCUCAUUGUCCACCAGAUAUGUGUACCCUUGGUGUGAUACCGAAGUGUAGUAGGUUCACCAUUUGUAUAUGUUAACCAUUCAGUUGGUAAGGACAAUGCAUAAUAUAUGCAAGGUUUAGGGUUCAAACCUUGGACACCAAAAAAAAAACUAAAAGAUUAUGUACUAUCAUGAUUCUACAUUUACUUUAAAAUAUUGAAUUAGUUGCUUUUUAGUUA